AGCAGGCGCGUAAAUUGCCCGAUCACGACACGGGGAGGUAGUGACAAUAAAUACUGAUACAGGGGUCUUUUGGGUCUUGUAAUUGGAAUGAGUACAAUUUAAAUCCCUUAACGAGGAACUAUUGGAGGGCAAGUCUGGUGCCAGCAGCCGCGGUAAUUCCAGCUCCAAUAGCGUAUAUUAAAGUUGUUGCAGUUAAAAAGCUCGUAGUCGGAUUUCGGGUCGGGCCGAGCGGUCUGCCGAUGGGUAUGCACUGUUCGGCGCGGCCUUCUUUCCGGAGACCGCGGCUACUCUUAACUGAGCGGGCGUGGGAGACGGAUCGUUUACUUUGAAAAAAUCAGAGUGUUUCAAGCAGGCAGCUCGCUCUUGCAUGGAUUAGCAUGGGAUAAUGAAAUAGGACUCUGGUGCUAUUUUGUUGGUUUCGAACACCGGAGUAAUGAUUAACAGGGACAGUCAGGGGCACUCGUAUUCCGUCGAGAGAGGUGAAAUUCUCAGACCAAUGGAAGACGAACCACUGCGAAAGCAUUUGCCAGGGAUGUUUUCACUGAUCAAGAACGAAAGUUAGGGGAUCGAAGACGAUCAGAUACCGUCGUAGUCUUAACCAUAAACCAUGCCGACUAGGGAUUGGAGGGUGUUCGUUUUGACCUCUUCAGCACCUUACGGGAAACUAAAGUCUUUGGGUUCCGGGGGGAGUAUGGUCGCAAGGCUGAAACUUAAAGGAAUUGACGGAAGGGCACCACCAGGAGUGGAGCCUGCGGCUUAAUUUGACUCAACACGGGGAAACUUACCAGGUCCAGACAUUGGAAGGAUUGACAGAUUGAGAGCUCUUUCUUGAUUCGAUGGGUGGUGGUGCAUGGCCGUUCUUAGUAGGUGGAGUGAUUUGUCUGGUUAAUUCCGUUAACGAACGAAACCUUAGCCUGCUAAAUAGUUCCGGUAACUUCUUGUUGGCGGUCAGCUUCUUAGAGGGACAACUUGUGAACGACAAGUGGAAGUUUGAGGCAAUAACAGGUCUGUGAUGCCCUUAGAUGUUCUGGGCCGCACGCGCGCUACACUGAAGCAUUCAACGAGUCCACCUCGACCGACAGGUCUGGGAAACCUUUUGAAAUUGCUUCGUGAUGGGGAUAGAUUAUUGCAACUAUUAAUCUUCAACGAGGAAUUCCUAGUAAGCGCAUGUCAUCAGCGUACGUUGA
rnacentral:rRNA from 1 species